AGCGAACGCUGGCGGCAGGCCUAACACAUGCAAGUCGAACGAAGUCUUCGGACUUAGUGGCGGACGGGUGAGUAACACGUGGGAACGUGCCCUUAGGUUCGGAAUAACUCAGGGAAACUUGUGCUAAUACCGAAUGUGCCCUUCGGGGGAAAGAUUUAUCGCCUUUAGAGCGGCCCGCGUCUGAUUAGCUAGUUGGUGAGGUAAUGGCUCACCAAGGCGACGAUCAGUAGCUGGUCUGAGAGGAUGACCAGCCACAUUGGGACUGAGACACGGCCCAAACUCCUACGGGAGGCAGCAGUGGGGAAUCUUGCGCAAUGGGCGAAAGCCUGACGCAGCCAUGCCGCGUGGAUGAUGAAGGUCUUAGGAUUGUAAAAUCCUUUCACCGGUGAAGAUAAUGACUGUAGCCGGAGAAGAAGCCCCGGCUAACUUCGUGCCAGCAGCCGCGGUAAUAC
rnacentral:rRNA from 1 species